AGCACAGCACGUCAGCGCCGCCCGGCCGGUCCCAGUCCUGCAACCUCUCGCUUCCAGCUUCCGGCAGCACAUGAGGGGUCCCCGGGCAGUGGGCUGGCGCCCAGGCCUUGCUGCCAUUGCCCUGGGCGAGUCACGUCCCCUUCCUGCCAGGAUCCUGGUCCCUGCUUCUGUCCCUGCCAUGGCUCCCGCCUCCUCACAGCCCUUGGUGUCCACGCAGUGGGCUGUGGGCCGCCUCCUGCCUCCACUGUGACCACUGUUGCCCCUGAGGGCCCCGCCUGCUCCUGGGACGGUCCUUUCCACUCCUGCCACCCCCAGCCCCAAGCUCUGGGCAUUCCUCUCUAGAAAACUGGGAGAAAAGAGGCAGCUGACGGGGACCCAGGCUGACGGUGGGCGAGAGGGUAAGCUGGGCCCGAAGCCCUCCCCACGAGCCCGGGGCGGCGUGGAGGCUGGCGGUCUCGGGAGGCAGGGUGCUGCUUUCGGCCAUCGCCCGCGUUCCCUCCCAGCACUGUCUGACCACUCACACCGCGCUCAUCCCCUCUCCUCCUUCCCCCAACAGCUGCCUGUCUUCCCGAUACGCCGAUGCUUCACAAAGACCUCGCCCUGUCCGCCGUCCGUGAAGCAGGAGGCCCGGGGACCGGGCCUGGGCGCGACGGAGGGCACCGGUGGGUACAGACUGAGUCUGGUUUUGGCAGAGCGCACACCUCGGUAAGAAGGGCCCUGAGGUCUAGGUUUGAUCUGACACUGGAAGGGGGUUAAGGACGUGUCAGGCCCAGUCCUUUAUCCCAUGUGAGGCGGCAAAGGCCUUUUGAGGGGAAGGAAGUGUUCACGCCUGGGGUGAAAACUCAGGCCCGGGCUCCAUCUGGAGGAAGCUGUGUUCCUGGUGUGACGGCGUGCCUGCUGGCCCCAGGGUGGAGCCUUGUAUGUCGGAGGCACAGACACGUACUUGGGUUUGGUCGAGGGUGAGGGUGAGGGCCCACAGUGGAAUGCUAACCUGGUCGGCCUAAACCUAGCAGGUUGCACAGAUAGGUGGGGGCUGACUAGUCUGACAGGUGAGGAAGUGGAGACAAGAGGAGACUAAAGGGGGUCCCAGCCUGUCCCCGCUGGAGUUAGUUCUCCAGGACCUCCAGCUCCUCCUUGAGUGGAGACUGGGGAAUGAUGACAAGUGUCGUCCCCUCUAGGUGGUGUCACCUUCCAAAGCUGGGCUCCCCCGUGUUCCCCUGACAAAGUCUGUGCUCGUCUGUGCUUCCAUUUCUGCCACAGCCAGGAAGGAGACACCCGAGAGGCCCAGCCUCCAGGACUGCUUGACAUCUAAGAGCAGGGGCAGUUGUGGCCCGACUUGGGGACAGCACAGGGCUGGUGGGUGCACCACUGGCCUGGACCUGGACUACUCCACGGAACCAUUUCCUAACCUAAUUGUGGUUCUUCAGAUUGUCGCAUCUCAGCUGAAUGAUUUAGGUGGAAUUUUUUGGCAAUGCAAUUUUUAACAGGUAACAACACGCACUCGGUACAGAACUAGAAAGGUGCGAAAGGGAACACAGUACAAAGGUCUUCCUCCCAGCCCUGACCCCGGGGCCCUGAGCCUGCGUCCUAAUGUUAGCAGCUUGGUGAGUUACUUCUAGAAACAGUAUGUAGACACACAUGCACUGACUGUGAGCAUGUUCCAUACAGACACACACACAUACAUCUGUUACAGAAAAGGUAGCGUACUAGUCAGCCAUCCUGCAACUGCUUUUCUCCUUUAAUGAAAAACUGCCCCAUUCUUUAUGGCAUACCUCGUACUACUCUACCGGUUUGGGGGUUUGCAACCUGGCUUAUAUUUAGUUCGGGGGGCUUUUCCUCUCUGGCCAUAUGCCAGCUGGACUCACUUCUGUCCCUAGAUUCCUAUCUCCAGCAGUGCCUCUCAUUCUUUGUACAUCUCCAGAUUGUAGCAUUCUACCUUCUUUUUUUCCCAUUUUACUUCUUAAAUGAACACACUGAAAAACUGACUUUUGAGCAUACAGUUCUAAGAGUUCGAGGACAGGCAUAGAUGUGUGUAACUACCACUCAGUCAGGACACAGAGCAGUUUUCUCCCCCCACAGACUUCACACACUAUCCCUUUGGGUCUUUCUUUUGACUGUGUUGGCAACCACUGUCCUUUAAAAAAAACAAAUUAUUCCUGUUUGAUUCAUUUCUUGAACUUUCAACCUCUCGGAUAAUGUCUUUGUGUCUUUGCAGCCCACUGUGAAAUUUUACACUUUUGUUUGGGACACGAUUGCAAACAUUUCCAAAGAAAGAAGACUGAAUCGGGCAGGCGGAUGCAAGAGGUUCGUCCCUAAAAUGAAAGUGGAUACAUUAUAAAAUGAACUACAGCUGUGUAAAAACAGAGCACUGAAAUUUUAGACUAUAACACCGCUUAGGCUCUGGGUAAGUGUAUCCUGGAAUCAGGCUGGUCCUAUUUACUAUGUCAGGUUGACAUAUUAUAGUUUUAAAAAUACCUGGGAGGAUCUAUUAUAAAUACGCUUCACUUUAUAAAUGCAAUGGAGCUUUUAUUCUGUCAUGAAUUUUUCAGCAUCUGGGAAGAAGAUCCCACUGGUUUUCAAACAUGACGGAAGUACUAUCGUUUGUCCCAGUACUUACACCCUAUCUUUGACAUGAAGGGAAAAAUACUUCCUUAGAUGCAGCAACUCAGAGCUUCGAGACUUUAUUACCUAGUGGCCUGGACAAGUGGCCCGGUCAUCUUUGUCCCACUGCAAAGCCGCCAGCCUGAAAGGGUGUGAUAUGACUCACACCUACAGCCCAGGGAUGGUGGCAAUUUCACACGACAGCUUCAAAACGACACUGAGCACAGCAUUGAGACACAAUUCAUUUCUCUGACAAGUAUUUUCCAUAGCAGUAAAGCUGUGAAGAAUUAAGAGAAGUGACUACCGCCUCAAGGCUGCACCUGAUUUGUGCCUUAGGACCCACAGAGGGGUAAGCCAUCCUGUGUUUCCUCAAAGGUUGGAGACACCUAGGCCACAUUUUGCUAAAAACGAAAGCUUCCAUGGCAAUCACUGUAACGCUGUAUUUGAUUUUUAGCCAGUGAUUAUCUGAAUGUGAGAUAAUGCCUUAUGUUGCAAUCUCUCUGUGCUUUGCAAAAUCACUGUAAAGUGGCUUGUAAGUUACAACAAAGCAAGGGAAAAGGAGGGUGUCACUGCGUGUCAGGGAGGAUGGUGCAAGCAAGCGUCUGGGGGGCAAAGCCACGCAAUUCCUCCCUCUGGCUUCUCCACAUGGCUUUUUACUGCCUUGCAGGAGAUGAUCAGUCACUUCUGAGGGCGUCCAAUGUGAGGACACAACGAUAAUGACUGGGCCCGAAUCACUUGAGUAUUUGUAACCUGGAUGGGUGACCACAGUUCUGGUCCCUUGAAAACAAAAUAUUAAGGUUUGAAGGAUCUCCAGUAGAGCUUCCCAGGAGUGGGGCUCGAUAUUUCAUUUUUAAAAUUCCACAGUAUGAUUUAACUUGGCAUCACUAAUAAACCACUCUGUUCACUAUCUGAUAUCUAUCUGUGCCAAACAUGCCCUAAAUGCCCCUAGCAGGACCAAAGACCACUGAGGCGCCUCUACAGAGCUCUCAGCCAGGCACACUGAGGGUGUAGGUUGGGUCUUCUGGAACAACGUAACUGAAAGCUGUCAGUCGGGGGCUCGAGCAAUCACAGGUAAGUAUUUCAAGGGGAGAAACACCGCAUGCAUCCUAUAGAAGCUUCCUUUUUCUUCCUGAAGUCUCUGAAUUCCACUGUCGGAAAAGGGCCAGGAGGGCCGUUUCCAGGCUCUCGGCCUCACGUGGGAAGGUGCUGGCUGCGUUAUUAGAUGGCCACCAGCUGUAACCAGUUGGCCAUUAGCUACUAUUUUGCAUGUAACUGCUGCGGCUGUGUUAGCAAGCGCAGGUGUUUCGGAUGCUACAGAGACUGCAGACCCUGCUUCCUGUGUCUCCCCAGCCGCCAGCGAGGCGGUGGCGCAGGAAGACCCCUUGUUGGGGUCUUGACGGAUGUUUGCUUCUCGUGUCUCGACCAGCUGUCAUCGAGAACAUAAUAUAGUGGUAUGAACCCCCUGCCUGUGGCUCCGUUGUUGUUCCUUUUCGGUCUCACCGAAUUCUGCGUUCAUCUGCCGGGAGCUGAGCCCCGGCAUGACAUCCACCCUUUGCCUCUGCCGGGCUUCCAGUGUGAAAAUGCUCCUAGCCUUCUAGUAAGUUCCUAAAAUAAAACAACGCCUAUUUCCUGGAUCGCCCAGUAGGUGUGGCGUUGGUUAAAAGCUGCACUGCCUAUCUGCAGGUGAACUUGCCCCAAGAGAAGUAUUGAGCCUGAGUACAAUAAUCAGACCCAAUUUAACCAGCCUGUUUCAGAAAACAAGAAGCUUUUCGAAGUUAAACUAACAAAGAAUAUUUCAGGAAAAGUGUCAUUCUAAUGAGUUCACCCAGAGUAGUCUCGACUCAGGACAUGCCCUCCCAGCUGACCACGACAUACUGUGUUCCUCAAAUAUUUGCAGAGCCUAAUGACAUCGACUUUGCCAACCCAGAACACAAACCUAAUAAACUACUGACAAUGGACGUGAUUUGUUCCUGAGAGCAGCUGCAGGGUUAGGUUUUCUGCUGCAGAGCGUGCUGUCAAUAUUAUCUCAUUAGGAAGCGGCCAGCAAAACAGAACAACCCACUCAGUGCCCAGCUUUGGUUUUUCUAUUUAUUCUCCAAUGAAAGGAACCAGGGCUCCUUGGAGAAAAGGCUUAUUCUAGGGCCAGGGCUGGAAAUAUACAAGAUGAGCAGUCUGGAAUAAUAUGUCAAAAGACACACGACCCCAGCAGAAAGAGCUCCCAAUGGCCAAAGCUGGAACAAUUUGAGCAACAAAUACUGCAGUAUUGAAUUAUGACCCACAGUAUACAACACAUACCCAUGAGUCCGUAUUGGCACAAGGAAACACAAAGGGACAAAUCUCCUGCACAGAAUUUCAACUAAGUUAUGUAGGUACCCCGGCCCUUAGGGAGGUAGGACCGCCCUCCCCAUUCAGAAGUGUGGGCUGUCCACAGUAACUUCCUUCCAAGGAGAGCACAGUAUGGAAAAGGGGGAAAAAGAACCUUUACAGUGGAGCGACCUGGAAACACUGACCUCGGCCAGGUGGUCAAGGUCAACAUCAGCAGGGAUAAGUCAUGUUUACAGCAUGCACGCCUGAUAAGACGUGAUGAGAAUGGUAUUACCCACGUGGUCUUCCGCCCCCAAAUCCAAAAGCCUCAUCUAACCGUGAGAAACACCUCAGAUAAACGCAGACUGGGGCACAUUCUACACAACAGCUAACCAGUAUUCCUUAAAACUGGCAAAGGCCAAAAAACGAGCAAAGUCUAAGCAACUCGCACAGAUCAGAGGCAGCAAAGGAGACAAGCGGGUCAUGUGGAUGGGACUGGACAGAAAAAGGGCAUGAGGAAAACGCUAGUGAAGUCUGGGUAAACCAUGGCGUUUAGCUUGUAGUUCUGUGCCAGUGCUGGUUCCUCAGAUGUGACAAACGAGUGAGGGUGAAGGGUACGUGAGACUCUGCGCCAUCUUUACAACGCUUCUGUAAAUCUAAAAUAAUCCCAAAACAAAAAGCUUAUUGAAAAAGGAGACCAAAGAGCCACUCCUCUUUUAUUUGACAGACUGUGAUGCUUUUUCUCAGGAGAGGCACUGACCAUGAAAUUUCUACUUUAGAACUUUGAAACACUUUGUAUUUCAAGACAUCCUUAUCUCCCGUAGGGCAUAGUCCACUCCAGACGAAACUUCUACCUUCAUGAUCACUGGCAUCAUUCUCUCUUCUUUCAUUGUAUUAGCCUCUUUGGGAACUAACCGCCAUUUGGGCCGCAGCCCUUUUAUUCACAGCCUUCACACGCAGUUUCCGGUUAGUGUCUGUGUCACGGUCACACUUCUAAUGAUUGGUUGGGGAGAUCAAUGCGUAAUUUUUAACAUUUUCCUUAGAGGCAAUCCAUUAAGCAGGCUUUAUCUGUCUGUAGUUGUUCUGUGUUGGGGGUAGUAUUUAACCUUUCAUUUCUAAAUCCCUAUAACAAUGAGCUAAGUUGUGACAAAAGUUUUACCAUCAAUUAAGAUCCCCAGAGGGGUAUAGUGUGUUCUGAGGAUGAGGAAGCCCUUAGCCUUACAGAAAUAACACCCCUGGUCUAAGGUGCUAGCUACACAGUCUGAGUCAAUGUGACUAGAACCACAGAAGGGACAUCUUUCCCAAGACCUGUUUCCUCACACACAGUCAGUCCCUGACCUGCCCUGGGACAAUCCGGGUCUCCCCAAAAUUCUGGAUUGGGAUUUGAAGAAGCCCGUUGUCUCCAUCAGCAUUUGAACUCAGAGAAAAGACAAGCACAGCCAUCUCUGUACAUGCUGAGAGGAUUCCACGCCAAAAAGGAACAUUGCUAAGCGCGCUGGUUUUGACUUGGUUUCCAGAAGCUGCUGACCAUGCUAUUGAAGAACUCACAAAGCUGUGUCCAUUACCCUGAAUAAUCAGGAUUGGUGGUAAGUCAGAGGUUCUUGUCCCCCGCAGUUAGAACAAGUCAAACACAUGCAGCUGUUUUGAAUUAAAAUAGCUGGCCCUAGGCAUCAUUUUUGUUUGGAGCUUUUACUUAGAAAGAAAGGUUCAACAGAAGUUUCAUUGGGUUUAAGUCUCCACUGGGUAAACCAGUGGUUAACCCUCAACAAUACCGCGCACAAAGAUGUGGUUACAGCUUGGCUCUGAACUGUGUGUCUGGUGAGUAAGCUGAUUUACAUUCUGGUGCCAGCUCAGCGCAUCUCAGACAACCAGACCACCAGCAUGUCUGUGGCCUUCUGAUCUUCACAAAAUGCUUCUACCAGUGCUGGGCACAGUGAGUGUGAUCAAUUGAUCUUAGCUAUCAUUAUCGCCAAAGGGUUCCUGGGACAGUAAUAAAAUGCUGUCAGUGGAGUCAUCUGUAGGUGGUAAGAUUAAGAUUGAUUUUAUUUUCCUUAUUGUACUUUUCCCUGCUUUCCACAAAGAGCGUGUAUUCCUUUGUGUGUGUGUGUGUGUGUGUGUGUGUGUGUGUGUGUGUGUGUGUGUGUGUAUGUGUCAGAAAAGCAUUUUAAAAUAAAAGGGACCCCUGGAGCUGUCAAUUUUAACAUGUACUUAAGACAGGGAUGACAGAAGUCUUGAUUUAGAGGGAUGGGCAGCUAUCAGAGGGUGGCUGGCAGCUGGGUCAUCACAGCCAGAGUCUUGGGAAAUUACAUCCCGUGUCACUCCAUGCAGAAGGCACACGGAUUUGAUUUACUUGGAGGUGGAGUGGCCCAAACAAGGCAGGGCACUAUCAGAUAGCCCACAUUCCUAUCUAGCUUAAGCUUUCAGAGAGAGAGCUGAUGUAGACCCAAGGAAUGGCAUUUGGCCUUUUGAGUCUUAGCAUUAAAUUGCAUUGGCUGUAUGUACUUUGCAGGGGUGGGAUGGAAUGGGGUGGGGUUGGUGAAGUGGGGGAGUUCAUUAAGGGUUUUGUGGGUAAUGGUCAUGACACCAGCUUGUAUUUCCAGAGAGAUGGAGGCCACAGGGGGUUGUGAGUGGAGGAGUGAUGUAAUCAGAUUGUCAUUUUGUCAGGCUGCCCCAGCGCUGUGUGAGAACAGACUGUGAGGAGCCGGGGCAGAAGCGGGGAGCCCUGGCAGGGGGCUAACGUAACCAUCCAGGGAGAUGGCCUUGGACCAGAGGGAGGUGAGAAACGGUCACAUUUGGAGGUAUGAUGUGACAUGACGGGAUGUGAUGUGAGCACUGCUCUCUGCCUUCAGGCUGGAGGCCUGGCUGCUCUCUGGGGACCCGUCUGGCCUGUCCUCUCCUAGGUUUCUCACUCAUUUGCUGACCACCACCUGAAUGAUGGGUCAUUUCUAAGAGUCUUCCUAACGCUAACAGCGAGUUCAUGAGAAGUCACCACCUCCCCAGUGGAAUGACACAGCAUUCCGUCAGGAUGAUUCUUAGAACCAGGGUAGGUCCCAAUUUUGAAGAAAAAAAAUAUACCAUUUCACUAGAGUGGAAAUGCCUACUAAAGCAGCAUCCAUAAUGUGUGAAAAUGGCCCAUGAGCCCACUCUCUGGGGAGCAGCAUUAGACAGUGUGACAGGGAGCAAGCUUGCAGUAAUCACCAGAGGGAAUGGGGCCAUUGUCCUGCAGAGCUGCGGGGCUUGGGUGGGGGUGGGGGGUGGGGUGAAAAGCCACUAGGGUCAGCAGGAAAAACCAAAGGACAGAAUGUGAUAGAGUGAUGGAAGAGGGAGGGACCCUUCUGUGUAGGAGAAUGUCAGAGGUAGGGAAAACCUUCUGAGGAAAAAUCAGAGAGGAAAGGUGGGGAACUUUUUAUGUCAGGUCAGGCUAGCAAAAAUUUUAUCAGGGAGCAACAGAUGGAGUAAACUCCAUCUAGCACUGAGAGAAACAGAGCUUGCUUUUCGGUUAAGCUGGGGAGCCUUGGAUGAGCACAUUACAGAGUUCUUAUGUAGUACCUAGUAUUCUCCAUGUGGCUUGGCGACAGUCAUAAUUAUUGUUACACUAUCAUCUAUCUGGAAUACUUUCACAGGGGAGUUGAUGCAACCACUAACUGUUAUAGCACAUCUAAUGGUAAAAAAACUCAGCGUUUUCAGAUGUAGUUUUAGAAAUAGUUACUUUUAAAGAAUAUGGAAACUAAAUCGCCCCUACCAUCCUUUAGAUUUAACGAAACCGCCAAAUACACACGCUGAAUUAGAGCACGAUCUAAGACGAAGCCAAAUUCUUGGUAAGGCCAAGUAUUAAUUAAAAGCAACAAUAUACUUCAAACAGCAGGGGGCGCCAUGCACCAAGCCUGCAGAGGGCGCUCCGGUUGUCAAACUCCUGCCCAUUGCAUCUACCUAUAGAGUAUUUAAUUCGUAAGAAUAUUCUUACCCGAUUUCAAGAAUAUUUGCAAAGUUCCAACCCCAGGUGAGUUCUUUAGGUUGCUCAGGUACGCGCCUCUCCUCACAAGGAGGCUGAGUGUUAGCCUUUACUUUGCCUUGACUGUGAAUAGUCAAACUGGAACUAAGGUGUGGGUGGGCAGGUGCUGUUUAACGGGGCUAGAGUUUCAGCUCUGCAAGAUGCAGAGUUAGUUCCGCAGGUGGAUGGUGGUGAUGGCGGCACAACAGUGUGAACUGCGGCGCUGUACACUGAGAAAAAUGGUUCAGGGGCUUACGUUUUACGUUCGGUAUAUUUCACCACAAUUAAAAAUUUUUUUAAAAAUUGAACUUGCUCACACCACCACCGUCGGCUCGUUCAUUUGCUAAUUGUUUGAAGAAUGCACUGUGGGUCUGUACUGUCGUUGUAGUUUUGUGGACCGGUCUUAGUUGUUUUAAUCUCCUCUGAGUUCCCCCAAACAAACCCCUCCAAUCUACAAUGAAUAAAGACUCGAAAAGCAAACGCUGAACUAUGGAAGCUUUCAACAGAAAUAAGGGCAGAGGUUCGGCGGGAAGGAGCUAACCUCACCCGUCAUUAUGUACCAGCAGCUUCCCACGGGUUCCUUCAUUUAAUCUGCAUAACAAUCCCAGGAUUGGGCACCGAAACCGAGGGGGACUGUGUGGCUUGCCCCAGGUCACCCUUCUGGUAAGGGUGGGGCAAGGAUUGCACCCCAGCCUUGGGGACUCAGAAGCCUUGCUCCUUCCAUAUUUCUGAGACAUCUAAAGGUGACCAAAGGGCAGCUGGUACACAGGACGCUCCCAGGGGAUGCCAGAUGAGAAAGUUUUGAAUUCAGUUUAUUUACCUUUGGUCCUGUUUGUCCUCCCCCUGUGCCCAAGAGAGUCAUUUUCUGCUCCUGGAUAAUGUGAACAAUGAGAAGGCAGUCUCGGGGUGCGGGGGCAGGGCCGCCCAGCAGAAACAAAGCCUGAAACAGGCUGUCCUUGUUGGAGACACAGGGUCAGCAUGGCACCACGGCUGGAAUAAGGCCUGUGGUGUCCGCUGCCCCGGAUGGCUGAGUGACAGCUGGAGGGGCGGUUAAGCAACAGGAGCUGAGGCUGGGUGAUUCUCACAAACUUUUAACUCUGGAAACAGCUGACUGGACAAGGUCCUGUGGGAUAGUGGCUUUUCCAUUUAUCAGCUAGCAUUCUGCAGCUUUCUAGCACACAACCGAAGCUCUCAGGACGGACAUGCUUUAUUGAGGUACGGCUCCGAAUGAUGGGACGCCAUUAAGAAAAAGAGAUUCUUGACGCGCUUAUGGGAUAUUGAAAUAUGCUAUCCCAUGAAGCAGCAAACUAGAAGAAUAUGCCAACCAGAGCAUUUGAGACCUUACCCACUACGCGUGGAGAGGAGCAGCUCAGCCUGAGCUUCAAGAUGCAAAACUGGCCGUAAAUGAAGAAAAGUCUCCUAACUGGGGAACCUGAGGCGGCGACAGGCAGUGCAGGGCCAGACUCCAUGCCUGCGACUUGUCGGCAGGGCGUCUGUGUUCCCUGAGACUCUGCCUUUUUCUGCCAGCAGUGCCGCAGACAACCCGCUCAGACCUUGAGAGGAGCAGGUGGCCGAGGCCUGGGCGCUGGCAGGGAUUAGGGGCGCUAUAAAUACAGACCUUUCAGUCACCUCAAUGCCUUUCAAAGGUGGUGCCAGCUCUGGGGGGAGGGGAUGGGGCAGAGUGGAGUUCCUGUUUAUAUCUUUGGGAUUUGUGCUUUCUGAGGACUUAUCUAGAGUGAACAGCAUAAAACCUCACUAAAAGGGAUUCAUUAUCUCAGUGUCACAGGAAAUAACCUGACGGUGAGGAUGUUUCUGACAGCUCCUUCUCUCACAUCCAGCUUUUUGCUUUGUUUCUCAGCUGGGAGGGGCCCUCGGAGGCCUGAGAUUCUGAAGCUUCAGGACUAAAAGGUUUUAAAUACCGAACAUCUUCUUAAAUUCCGCAGUGGCCACCACCCCUUUAGUGACACCUGUUCUCCUCCUGACCUCAAGGGCACCCCGUGAUUCCGGGCCUGAUGUCUACAGGCCACUCUGUCACCUCCUCUUUCCAGCAGCCUCCAACCUCGUCCCUUCCGGACAAGGCUUGUUUCGGGAAGCUGGGGACCAGAACACCCUCAAUGGACACAGUCUGAUGGUCAAGGAGGAGGUGGCCGCUCACGUGUGGGAGAGUGAUGGUGUCUCAUCCAGGCCCUGCAGAGAGGGUGUCGAGAGGGAGAUGGGCAGGCCGCUAGGGCACAGGUCUGGGUGCUUCCACCAAGAAGCCUGGGAGGGAGUAAUCCAGAAAGGAAGAAGGAAAACCAGCAGAGGAUAGAGUCACGGAAGCCAAGGAAAGGAGCAGCGGACGGGAAGGGAAGUGGGCUGCAUCAAACCCCUGAUAAGAGACUCGGACAGGGGUGCCCGGAGGUAAGGUGAGCUGGGGGCGGUGAGGCAGUCGGGGCCUCCGCAAGGUCUGUAAGGACUAACAAGCAAUGGGGCCGGCGCAAUCAGAAGAAUGAUGGAGGAAGGAAGGAGGGCCCCUUGGCUCCCUGAGGGAGGAGGCACGUGGCCUGGGGAGGGGACAGGUGGCAGUGGUCGGCAGCAGCGGGAAGGUGGGGAAAGGUGUCUUCAGGCAAUUCUCUUAAGAAGUUCAAAUGCUGAGGAGACGAGAAAUGUAGGCUGCCUGCUGUAUAGAGACAUGAUUUUUAUGUGUUCUUUAGUUUUCUGUAAGGUUGGGCGUCUCGAGCAUAGUUAAGCGUGGACAGCAAGGAGUGAGUUGGGCGAGGCUGACCCCAGGGAGAGAGGGAGGGAUUGAGGCCAAUUUCUGGGCACAGAGGAGGGAUGGAGCCGUGCAGGUGGACGCCCACCAGGUGCCACUCAAGCACGGGACGGCGUGUCCACAGCGGUCACGGAAAGACCCGUGAGGGAGCGCCAGGCUGCUGGGCUCCUGGAGAUCCUACGUACGUGUAAAUGUGUCCCCUCAGGGGGACCUUCCCUGACUGUCCUGUCCAAGAUGGCAUCUCUCUCACCCUCUUUCCUUUUACUAAAAUUUCCCUAAAGCAUCUGUGACUCCCUAUAGCAGGCUGCAGAACGGCCACCUAAGAGAUAUAUUCACUCCCUAAUUUCCAGAAGAAGUACUCAGUACCUUUUAUGGUAACAGACGUGAGUAGAUUAAGGCACUCGCAAUGAGGUCAGCUGGGAUUGUCUGGGGGGGCCUGGAACACCCUCACCAGGGUCCUUAUCAGAUGGAAGCAAGGGGAGAGUUAACGCAGGCACGAAGAGGGGGCGGCGGUGUGAAGACAGAGGCCGAGAUGGGAGUCACGUGGCCACGGAAUUUUGGCAGCCACCAGGAGCUGGAAGAGGCAAGGAACAGAUUCUUCUCCAAAGCCACCGGAGGGAGCAUGGCUGCUGAAACCUUCAUUUCAGCCCAGUGAACUGAAUUGUGACUUCUGGCGUCCAGAACUGUGAGAGUACAUUUCUGUUGUUUUAAGCCACCAGGUUUGUGGUGAUUUGUUACAGCAGGCAUGGGAAACUACAACAGUACACCACCUAACCCCAUGGUGUAUGUUUAUUGCCCUUCUGCUCUAUGAGAUUACAAAUUCCGUAAGGAAAGAGACUGUUUCACUGUGGUAGUCCCAGGCCUGGGAUAUCACAGAGGCCCCAGCAUUUGUUGAAUGACUGCAGGGAUAAAUACGCAGGUGUUCUCUCUCUGGGGGGCUGUGCCUCUAAUAGAGAAUCCCCUAAAGCAUGGUCGAUCCCAUUGAAAGUGACUGCUCCACUGCCCAGACUCUGCAUAAUGCGUCCAUGUGUGGCUUAAAAUCUUUCCUUCCUGGCAUUUCUAAUGUUUGGUUGCUGUGUGCAGAGAUAUCAGACAUCUAGGUCAGAGGACUAAAUAUAUCCCUUUCUCUCUUUCUGUGCUCACUGCAGCUUGUGGGUAACUGACAUUUCAAAUGAGCAAAACGACUGAAGGCUGGGAUGAGCCCUGUCGGCACCUGGGGUUGGAGGCUAUAAACAGGAAGGUGUGACAGGACAUCUGAGAGCUUUCCCAAGCCUCGGGGAGAAAAUGUGCACACAUAUGUGUCUUGUGUAUGCGUGAGGUCCAACUAUGGAAGGGGUGUACAAAAAUACCAGGAGACUGAUUUUUUUAAGCACCC